GCCUGGGUGGCUCAGUUGGUUAAGCAGCCGACUUGGGCUUGGGUCAUGAUCUCACGGUUCGUGGGUUCAAGCCCCACUUCGGGCU
rnacentral:tRNA from 1 species